AUGAAGCCGGAAUCGCUAGUAAUCGCGGAUCAGAAUGCCGCGGUGAAUACGUUCCCGGGUCUUGUACACACCGCCCGUCACACCAUGGGAGUCGGAAAUGCCCGAAGUCUGUGACCCAACCGUAAGGAGGGAGCAGCCGAAGGCAGGUCGGAUGACUGGGGUGAAGUCGUAACAAGGUAAC
rnacentral:rRNA from 1 species